ensembl:lncRNA
UUUUUUUUUUCCAAAUGAUAGUAAAUCACAAAAUCACAGAAUCACAGAACAAUAAGGGCUGGAAGGGACCUCUAGAGAUCAUCUAGUCCAAUUGCCCUACCAAAGCAGGCUCCCUAGACCAGGUUGCACAGGUAGGUGUCCAGACGGGUAUUGAACAUCUCCAAAGAAGGAGAAUCCGCAACCUGCUCCAGUGCUCCGUUUUAGAAUUCCACUGUUUGCAGAAAUAUUUGUAUGUAACUGUAUAUUUAUGGGUAAAUAUAGAUAUAAAUUUUGUAAUGCAUGUUACUUUUCUUCUUUUCUUGACUCUGAGAUGACAUUUUCCCUGACUGUAUUAUCAUCAUUCAACAACUCCAUUGGGUCAACAAGAAAGGUACAGAUAAUGCACAGCAAGAAGUCCAAAAGAAAGAAGAUUAAACUGUAAUGUAAUGCGAUAAAAGAAGAAGCCUAUUUGUAAUAUGAAGAAAAGAUUUCUAUCCAAUAAAUAUAUAUGAGGCACAAGAGGACUGGAAAGCCUUUUAAAAAUAAUUCAUAACUGACAUGGAAAACAAUAUAAUUUACAUAAUGUUCAGCUGUGCAUCUUUCAUUCUACC